AUGGUUAAGCUACUAAGAGCACACGGAGGAUGCCUAGGCGCUAGGAGCCGAUGAAGGACGUGGCGAACAACGAUACUGCCUCGGGGAGCUGUAAGCAAGCUUUGAUCCGGGGAUGUCCGAAUGGGGAAACCCGGCUGAUGUAAUAGUCAGUCACUCAUAACUGAAUACAUAGGUUAUGGUGAGGCAUACCAGGGGAACUGAAACAUCUAAGUACCCUGAGGAAGAGAAAACAAGAGUGAUUCCGUCAGUAGCGGCGAGCGAACGCGGAACAGCCUAAACCGGUCAGCUUGCUGGCCGGGGUUGUGGGACGUCUCACAUGGAGUUACAAAGGAAUUGGUUAGGCGAAGAGGUCUGGAAAGGCCCGGCAUAGAAGGUAAAAGCCCUGUAGCCGAAAGUCAGUUCCCUCCGAGACGGAUCCCGAGUAGUGCGGGGCACGUGAAACCCCGUAUGAAUCUGGCAGGACCAUCUGCUAAGGCUAAAUACUCCCUAGCGACCGAUAGUGAAACAGUACCGUGAGGGAAAGGUGAAAAGCACCCCGGAAGGGGAGUGAAAUAGAACCUGAAACCGUGUGCUUACAAGAAGUCAGAGCCCUGUUUAUGGGUGAUGGCGUGCCUUUUGUAGAAUGAACCGGCGAGUUACGUUCCCGUGCAAGGUUAAGGUGAGAAGCCGGAGCCGCAGCGAAAGCGAGUCUGAAUAGGGCGAUUAAGUACGUGGACGUAGACCCGAAACCGUGUGAUCUACCCCUGUCCAGGGUGAAGGUGCGGUAACACGCACUGGAGGCCCGAACCCACGAAUGUUGAAAAAUUCGGGGAUGAGGUGGGGGUAGCGGAGAAAUUCCAAUCGAACUCGGAGAUAGCUGGUUCUCCCCGAAAUAGCUUUAGGGCUAGCCUCGGUGAAUAGAGUCGUGGAGGUAGAGCACUGAUUGGGUGCGGGGCCCGCAAGGGUUACCAAGCUCAGUCAAACUCCGAAUGCCAUUGACUUGUAACCGGGAGUCAGACAGUGAGUGCUAAGAUCCAUUGUCAAAAGGGAAACAGCCCAGACCAUCAGCUAAGGUCCCCAAGUGUGUGUUAAGUGGGAAAGGAUGUGGAGUUGCACAGACAACCAGGAUGUUGGCUUAGAAGCAGCCACCAUUGAAAGAGUGCGUAAUAGCUCACUGGUCGAGUGACUCUGCGCCGAAAAUGUAACGGGGCUAAACACACCACCGAAGCUAUGGCUUGAUGCUUGCAUCAGGGGUAGGGGAGCGUUGUAUACAGCGUUGAAGGUAUACCGUAAGGAGUGCUGGAGCGUAUACAAGUGAGAAUGCCGGUAUGAGU
rnacentral:rRNA from 1 species